rnacentral:other from 1 species
UUUUCCCUGCAUGGUGCGUAAAGAUUGAAAUUUUAUUACCAACAAAUAAAAAAGGGGAGUCCGACUUUGAAAGUGGCGUGUAGGCUUACAUUUAUUUAUGUAAGAAACCCAGGAACUUUCAACAAGACACCCACCUGUGCAAACAGGUAUAAAAAUUUCUUUCAUCGUACGGCCAAUGUGGGGACUUU